rfam:Gossypium arboreum cultivar AKA8401 contig_45619_3, whole genome shotgun sequence.
AACCCAUGCUGAGGAUAUCCUCUCAUAAGAUCCUUAUAUUUCUCCCAUGCAUCAUAUAAUGUAUCCAACUCAAUUAGAGAAAAAGAAGAGAUGUCUUUUCUCAAUUU